CACGCAGGCGGUUUGUUAAGUCAGAUGUGAAAGCCCCGGGCUCAACCUGGGAACUGCGUUUUGAACUGGGUAACUAGAGUGUGUCAGAGAGGGGUAGAAUUCCACGUGUAGCAGUGAAAUGCGUAGAGAUGUGGAGGAAUACCGAUGGCGAAGGCAGCCCCCUGGGAUAACACUGACGUUCAUGCUCGAAAGCGUGGGUAGCAAACA
rnacentral:rRNA from 1 species